GAUGAAGAACGUAGCGAAAUGCGAUAAAUAAUGUGAAUUGCAGAAUUCAGUGAAUCAUCGAGUCUUUGAACGCACAUUGCGCCCCCUGGUAUUCCGGGGGCAUGCCUGUCCGAGCGUCAUUGCUGCCCUCAAGCACGGCUUGUGUGUUGGGCCCCCGUCCCCCCCUCCCGGGGGACGGGCCCGAAAGGCAGCGGCGGCACCGCGUCCGGUCCUCGAGCGUAUGGGGCUUUGUCACCCGCUCUGUAGGCCCGGCCGGCGCCUGCCGACCACCAUCAAUCUUUUUUCAGGUUGACCUCGGAUCAGGUAGGGAUACCCGCUGAACUUAAGCAUAUCAAUAAGCGGAGGA
rnacentral:misc_RNA from 1 species